CCGGAACGUUUGUCUGCCCAACUUCUUGGACCUCUCGGAGGAGCAAUGACAGCUGUCAAUGGAGAGGUUCCGGCAGUUUCCGGUCGUCAGGCAUGUCCUCCACAACCCGACAACAACGCAAAGUUGCCACAUAUAUUCCCAUCCACGUGUGCCGCGCAAGGGGCUUCUCCAUCCACGUCUGCUCCUUCAACCAUGGGACUUGUUGCAAUUAUUCAGCGCAUGGAAGUUGAGAAGUCCCUCCUCCUACAAGGCAAGGGGCAAUGGUGAUCCCAAAAAUACCCAGUGUUCCAGUGGCAGGGCGGAACCGGCCGAUCCACUAACCACCACUGACCACCAGCCACCUGAUUACUGCUUAACCCUCACGGAAGGUUUGGCCCGGGCAUAAUGUUAAAAACAGAGACCAUAAGUGUAGCAGUGACAGGACUCACAGGAGAAAGGGAAUCCAUAUCCCAGCGCUGUGAGUGGAGCAGCAGUCAACCUCAUAAGUAUUCCGAUCCCUCGCAGUAAUCCAGCUUGCGUGAGCAGGGACCCAAUGAGGAGAUGAAGUCCCAUGAGAACAGGGAACAUUUCCUUGGAGGGGGGGUGGAUAGAGAGUGUUUCUCUGCUGUCCUUUACAUGUCCUCUGUCUGAGUUAUCACAGAGGUCAGUCUUCCCCAGUCGCCCUGUCUCCCAGUCUAAGCAGGGCUCCAUAGGGCUGGGAAAGGGCAACACAUAUACAGUAUGCCUCCAAACAUGAGGCGCCAGUCCCAGACAGACAGAAAGUCAGACACACUCACACGCACAGCAGUCACCAUCCGUGUGGCCUAUGACAGCAAGAUGGGAAUGAA